rnacentral:tRNA from 1 species
CGGGGCGUGGCGCAGUCCGGUAGCGCGCCUGAAUGGGGUUCAGGAGGUCCGGGGUUCAAAUCCCCGCGCCCCGA